UCUGUGCUUGUUCUUGUUUGGAAAUAAAUAUGUCCCACCCACCUCAACUCUGUUUCUUUUGCCUUACAGUUCAUAUAUGAUGAACAAAUUGUGUGGUGGGAAGGCCUGGUGCUCAUCAUCUUGUAUGUGUUUUAUAUUCUGAUCAUGAAGUACAAUGUGAAGAUGCAAGCCUUUUUCACAGUCAAACAAAAGAGCAUUGCAAACGGCAACCCAGUCAACAGUGAGCUGGAGGCUGGUAAUGAUUUCUAUGACGGUAGCUUUGAUGACCCUUCCGUGCCAUUGCUGGGGCAAGGUAAGGCUGAGCAGACAGGAGUGGGCAGAAAUGUGUCCUGGAAGCCACUCUCUCCUCUUUUGUGUACACACACACACACACACACACACACACCCCCUCACAAUGUCCCCCCUCUAAAUUGUCACUCUCUUACCUUUGACCACAGGUGCCCUAAGUGAGGAGGGAGAGUCAGUAUGGGAGAUGGGGUUUGCUUAGGUGGGGCAGGGGUGGAGGGAAACUACCCCAGGAAAGAGAAAAACCACA